rfam:Microscilla marina ATCC 23134 1099589004157, whole genome shotgun sequence.
GACACAGUUGAGCAAUUGGUUGGCUCGCCUGACUGUAAAUCAGGUCUUAUGAUAAGCUUGCAGGUUCAAGUCCUGCCUGUGUCA